rnacentral:rRNA from 1 species
AUUGAACGCUUGCGGCAGGCCUAACACAUGCAAGUCGAGCGAGCGGCGGACGGGUGAGUAAUGUCUGGGAAACUGCCUGAUGGAGGGGGAUAACUACUGGAAACGGUAGCUAAUACCGCACACCAUCAGAUGUGACCAGAUGGGAUUAGCUAGUAGGUGGGGUAACGGCUCACCUAGGCGACGAUCCCUAGCUGGUCUGAGAGGAUGACCAGCAACAAGGGAAUGGAGACACGUGCCAGACUCCUACGGGAGGCAGCAGCGGGUAAUAGUGCACAAUGGGCGCAAGCCUGAUGAAGCCAUGCCGGGUGUAUGAAGAAGGCCUUCGGGUUGUAAAGUACUUUCAGCGGGGAGGUGUUACCCGCAGAAGAAGCACCGGCUAACUCCGUGCCAGCAGCCGCGGUAAUAC